rnacentral:rRNA from 1 species
UACAGAGGUCUCAAGCGUUGUUCGGAUUCACUGGGCGUAAAGCGUCUGUAGGUGGUCAAAUAAGUCAACUGUUAAAUCUUGAGGCUCAACCUCAAAACCGCAGUCGAAACUAUUAGACUAGAGUAUAGUAGGGGUAAAGGGAAUUUCCAGUGGAGCGGUGAAAUGCGUAGAGAUUGGAAAGAACACCGAUGGCGAAGGCACUUUACUGGGCUAUGACUAACACUCAGAGACGAAAGCUAGGGUAGCAAAUGGG